CUCGUGAAUGCUUAGCCGGUUGAGGAGCCGGAUCGUCCAACUCCAUGUUCUUCAAAUUUUGCACCGUUUCGUUAAGUGCUCCCGAAUUCAAAGGAGUGGAAGCUUUUACUUUUUGUUGCAAACUGGAAGAUGUGCCUCGUGAAAGCCCUCGAGAAACUGGCCUCGUAGUCGGUCUUGGUAACAAAGGACCAUUCUCAAAUGCAUUACCCUUUGAUACAUCCAUGGAAAGCGAUUUGUUAGUUGCCUUUCGUGGAGAUGGUACAACUGGACUAGAAGGAACAACGGAUUUCUUGACAGCCUUAGCAUUUGAAGGUACGACGACUUUUGAUUCUUCUUGUUUUGAAGGUUUAACUUUCGACUUUUUUGUAGGUGCCUUAGCCUUUACUGUAGCUGUUUCAUAAAAAGAACGAAUUUUAGAUUUCCUGAUGUCGUCCAACGGACUUAAAUACUGAUUAAUGGCUCUUUCACCAACGAGUUUCAUCAAAACACCCAAGGCUUCUGCUGCCGCACUACGCACCGGCUCAAAGGUAUCAGAAACACCAGGAACGCAUGCUUUAGCACAGGUAUCAACUGUAAACUUAGAUGGUAAGGAUGUCAUAUUACUGAAAGAUCUCGAGAACAAACUAAAGCAGGAGCUUUUGAUUUGA